AGUGGAGCCGGGCCGGGUCAAGCCCCGCCCAGGCCCCUACUUGGCCCAGCCCCCCAGGGAGCAACGCGACCGGAGCCGCACAAACAGGCUGCGCAAACAGGCGCGCUUCUCUGCCGGCGUGCUCAUGGUUCUCAUACUGGCAGAGUAGCGUGAAGAAAUCUGCAAUCCAUAGACAAACUCUUGGAAGGAGACAAGUCUGGAGUGGGCAGAGUGUGUCUGCUUUCCUCAGAGCAAGAUGGGAACUCCACCUGCUUACACAGUUAUAUUCAAAAAGUUGAAUAUGACCAACUAUUUCUGGAAGAUUUUUGGACUAUUUUGGUAUCUUCCCUUGUGUGUUCCUCUUAAGAUGGGAGAAUGAGCUGCUAUUGGUGCUUGAGAAACUUUGUGUUUCCUGGAUAUCAGGACGCAAAUACCAAUACAAUUCAAAAUUAAACAUUUGCUUAGUCACUGUU